UACGUAGGGGGCAAGCGUUGUCCGGAAUCAUUGGGCGUAAAGAGCGUGUAGGCGGUCCGGUAAGUCCGCUGUGAAAGUCAAGGGCUCAACCCUUGAAUGCCGGUGGAUACUGCUGGACUAGAGUCCGGAAGAGGCGAGUGGAAUUCCUGGUGUAGCGGUGAAAUGCGCAGAUAUCAGGAGGAACACCGAUGGCGAAGGCAGCUCGCUGGGACGGUACUGACGCUGAGACGCGAAAGCGUGGGGAGCAAACAGG
rnacentral:rRNA from 1 species